rnacentral:rRNA from 6 species
CUUGACCUCGGAUCAGGUAGGGAUACCCGCUGAACUUAAGCAUAUCAAUAAG